rnacentral:misc_RNA from 1 species
GAAAUGCGAUAAGUAAUGUGAAUUGCAGAAUUCAGUGAAUCAUCGAAUCUUUGAACGCACCUUGCGCUUCUUGGUAUUCCUUGGAGCAUGCCUGUUUGAGUAUCAUGAAAUCUUCAAAGUAAAUCUUUUGUUAACUCAAUUGGUUUCUACUUUGGUAUUGGAGGUCUUUGCAGCUUCACACCUGCUCCUCUUUGUUCAUUAGCUGGAUCUCAGUGUUAUGCUUGGUUCCACUCGGCGUGAUAAGUUAUCUAUCGCUGAGGACACUGUAAAAGGUGGCCAAGGUAAAUGCAGAUGAACCGCUUCUAAUAGUCCAUUGACUUGGACAAUACUUUUAUGAUCUGAUCUCAAAUCAGGUAGUACUACCCGCUGAACUUAAGC